rnacentral:rRNA from 1 species
UGGGUAACCUGCCCUGGACUUUGGGAUAACCCUCGGAAACGGGGGCUAAUACCGGAUACGACGGCUCACCGCAUGGUGUGGUUGUGGAAAGUUUUUCGGUCUGGGAUGGGCUCGCGGCCUAUCAGCUUGUUGGUGGGGUGAUGGCCUACCAAGGCGACGACGGGUAGCCGGCCUGAGAGGGCGACCGGCCACACUGGGACUGAGACACGGCCCAGACUCCUACGGGAGGCA